GAACAGGGAGAGCUACUCUUCCCUGGAGCUGCAGAGGACAACUUGUUCCACCCACGCUGCCCUGCCCCGAUCUCACAGAGUUAUGACCGCCUCGUUGCAGUCCGUUCCUAAGUUAGCUUCUCCUUUGCUGGGGUCUGAAGCCCAGGCCUUCAGCCCUGGAGUCAUCGGUUCAUCAAGCUCCGUGGUGGUCUUAAAAUAUAUCCACAAAUUUUCUGACAUCCUCUCUUCAAGAAGUGGAGCUUAAUUCCCUUUCCUUUGAGUGCAGACCACUCACUCUGGGAGAAAGCAACUGGCUAUGUCAUGAGGAAAUUGAAACCACCUAUGGAGAAAGGCCCACAUGGUGAGAAAGUAAAGCCUCUUCCCAAUACCAAAAUUCUGUAAGUCUGCUACGGUGACAUUUCUGGUUAGGAGUCAGAGUGGAUGGGACACUGAGCAAUAAGAAUGCAGAGACAUGAUGGCUGAAGCUGGAGCUUUUCCCUGAAGCAACCACCUGUUGGAAACUUCAUGUUGAAGAUGACUGAAUAAUAAGACAGAGGGGUCUGGGUCCCUGGUGGAUAUUCCAGAUCUGGGUGUUCGUGGAGAUAUGAGAAAGCAAUAAACUUCAAUUUUGCUUAAAUAGCUGUUACUUGGGGCAUUCUGUCAUUUAUGGACA
rnacentral:lncRNA from 10 species